rnacentral:lncRNA from 1 species
AUUAACCGUUUGUAAAAUCAUAUAGAAUCUACUUGAACUAUGGACCAUUUUGAAUCAACCAUUUAAUCUUUCAACAUUUUGAUUUAACUAACCAAUUUUUUAAUUUGUUUGGUUUAAAUCAACCACGCUACUUUGAUUUUCAAAUUUGAAUACGUUGUUUAUAUAUAGAAAUUUAGUUAGUAUACUCUAUAUAAUUCUCACAACUAUAAAUUUAAUAACAAUCGACUGUCCCUAGAGCAAGUGGCAAAAGGCUUAGUGGUUGGUACCCGAGGUCUCAAGUUUGAAUCCUAGUUGAUUCACAUUUCUAGCUAAGUUUAUUUCUAAAUGAAAUAAACAAAGCGGGUAGCGUGCUACCUCACUACAACAAAAACGGUCUAUAGCGACACUUUUAAAUAUCGGUAUAAGUCAAAAAAAGUGCUGCUGGCUAAAUUACCGACACUUUAAAAAAUCUUGCUAUAUGUGGGGUUGCUAGGUAUAUAGUGACAGUUAAAGAGUGUCGUUAUAAUCUAAAACAGUGCUGCUAAUUUACCAACAUUUAUUUAAGCAUCUAGCAACUGCCGGAACUCUACCUCGUUGGCUGCAGUGGCGGAGGAGACGAGAGGAAGGGACCUUUGUCUAGAAUUUCAGUUGAUUGAGUGAGAGGAGAAGGAGAAAUGGUAAUCAAUUUUUCUUUCCUUUUUCUCUUUUUUUUUUUUCUUUU